UCAGUAAAUGAGGGUGCGUUACGGUUGCCAGUUUCCUUAGUGUGCCCUCGACCCUAAAACUAAAGUUAUACCAGAGGACAUACAAGGUUGCUCCAUUGCCACUUAGUAAUGAAUACCGUUACGUCAAUAAUAAAAGUUUAGUAUAUUCUAUUUUCACUUACUGCCCAUAGUUAUAUGCCAGUUUGCAAUAAAACAUAUUGGGUAUGAGGGGUAGUAAUAGUUUGACUAUUCAACACGUUUCCACUGCAAUUAAUUGACAAGCAACAAUAGAAAUGUACUUGGAAGCGGUGUAUUCUGUGAAGUCCGUGUCGAAGAUGUAACUUUUCCUCAAGUAAGAAACUGCACUUCUGUUGAAACACAAAUUGGUGCUAGUUUUAUAGCAUCUGUACUUGUAAUUAAUGUAAACUUUUAAAACAACAGAAAUACAAUUCAUCACAGAAAAUACACCAUGUGGGUGGGAGCCCACAGCAUGUUGUGUUUGGAAGAGAUCGCUCAUGCAACAGGAACGAAAUGUGAAACAUGGCGGUCAGGCAUGAUCGCCUUGCUUUAUAAGCUGUAUAAAAAUUAAUAGCAGGCCACCUGGACGUCAAGAUGGAAAUGAUUCUAGUAUAGGCUUCUGUAGUUCAAAUAGGCCAGCUGUUCAAAAUUUGACCAAAGUAAAUGGCAAUUGAGUCAAGUGGAAACAACUAGCAGAUAGAGCUGAAGCAGAGAUAGUACAUCCUCUGCAAGCAUGUGGGUGUUCACGUGUUAUUUGUCAGGUAAUUUCACCUGUAUGUAACAUAAUAAGAAAUGAGUGGUAGCUUUUAACCGAGUACCUAAGUAGAAAAAUCAAGUCCCGAAAUAGACAGAAAUUUGACUGUGAGUGCUGCACCAAGAAACAGAUGAGACCACCUCCGACUAAUCAAAACCCACAGCCACUGGCAAUGACUAACUUCUUGUGCCAAUCAGGGGUAUACCUAGGGAAAAUGCAGAACGAAGCAGUGAAGGAAACUCCUGAAACAAGUGACAGUCCAGUCAAAGUGUUUUGUCAUAUCUGGGUGCACUGCAGGCAACCUCUUUGCUGCUGGAAGUGGUCAUCACCAUUGUGAGUGUCCAGAGAUGCAGAUAUCUCAACCUGCUGCAAUUGUGACUUGCAGGACAGGAAUUGUUGUGCCUAGCAAGUGAUGGAGGCUCUAGUCACGCAGAACAGGAAUUACAUUGCAGAAGGAACCUGCGGGCGAUAAAACCUGGGUAGCAAGGUAACUAUCUGAAGAGCGACUAACUUCCUGGUUGACUAUUUGAAUUGCAACUAAACGACAAAGUAUACCUAGGCCAGCAUAAUAAAUGAGAGUGAUCACUACAUCAAGUUAUGAUUUUAUUAGCAUAAUGUAGCUUGUGUCCUGAAUUUACUGCCAAUUCAAACUCAUAUUUUGUUGCAUCCUGUUGUAUAAAUCAUUACAGAAUAACAUUUAUUGUAUCCUUUAUGAACAUAACACUACUUCCAGCAGAUGGAGCUGCUAAGAUUCCUGUUUUAUAAAUAUAGGAAUGUUGCUUAUGAAGUAUCAGACAUAUUUCAGCAUAUGUGUGCCAUCAUCCAGGUCAUGUUUAUAGUUACAGUUAAUAUAUCAUACACUUAGCAUAAAUUUUCAUGUAGGCUGAGUGGAUCCACAGGUGUGUUGUAUACACUAUAUAUACUCUAAUAGAGUAGCUCAUAUAUUGCCAUUGAAUAUUUGUAAUUUAACACUUCGCGGACUGGUGAUUUAAAUCACCCUGGGGACCGGCAUUUUUAAACAUA